AUAUGAUAAAGUGGAGGCGUCUUGCAGUGUACUCCUGCAUGUAUUUCAUAGGUUGAAUGGUAAAAAAGCGCCUCACCAAGUUUACCCACUGAAAAAAUAUGUGACUUCGACUUCCCGAGAUAUCACGGGACCAAAUGGUAUAAAAAUGAAGCGAUUUGUUGCUGGUGAGAGCAUCAAGAAUACAGAGCAUUGAGGAAACGGCUAGCUAUAACAGAAAAGCAAAGGUAUCUAAGACCAAGGCAUAAAGAAUGAUGAAGUUUAUAGUCGCCUUAUUCCUUCUCGUUCAAGUCAUUUUUACUGUGAUCGAUCAAGGAGAAGCUAAACGCGUUUGAAAUCAAAAGUCGAAAGCCAUUUCUACCAAGUUGCCCUUCAACACGUUCAAAAUAUCUGAAAAUCGCUAAAAUAAGUCUGCUUGAAGGACAAAGAAGAAAGACAUCGGCAUCCGACUUUCCUGUUAAGUGUGUACAUCUGGCUUUGAUUAUGGCAAAUGGAAUUUCGACUUUCCACAUGGAUACUUAUGAAUGCUGCAAGAAAUGCAAUGAUAAGUUUUUGAAGUGUCUCAAAACGCAUGCAAACAACCCCCACAAACUUUCCAUUUGCCGAAAUGAAGCAUUUUCUUGUAUCUGCAGAUGUCACCAACGAAGUGCAAAAAAAUGCACAUCAAAUAAAUGCACGCGAGGCGGAUGUUGUCUGCAACAACAAUGUAUCACUUUGUAAACCAAAUCUCCAGUGAAACGACUUGGUUGAAACAUUUUUACAGCACUAACGAGUUUAGCUACAUGCAUGCAAUGUUAAUUACAAUGAUUGUCAGAUAUUCAACGUAAAAGAUAAUAAAAAUAAAAUUUGAAUUUCA